CCUACGGGAGGCAGCAGUGAGGAAUAUUGGUCAAUGGACGAGAGUCUGAACCAGCCAAGUAGCGUGAAGGAUGACGGCCCUAUGGGUUGUAAACUUCUUUUAUAAAGGAAUAAAACGCGGCUCGUGAGCCUUUUUGCGUGUACUUUAUGAAUAAGGAUCGGCUAACUCCGUGCCAGCAGCCGCGGUAAUACGGAGGAUCCGAGCGUUAUCCGGAUUUAUUGGGUUUAAAGGGAGCGUAGGUGGGGUGCUAAGUCAGUCGUGAAAGUUUGCGGCUCAACCGUCAAAGUGCAUUUGAUACUGGCAGUCUUGAGUACAGUUGAGGUAGGCGGAAUUCGUGGUGUAGCGGUGAAAUGCUUAGAUAUCACGAAGAACCCCGAUUGCGAAGGCAGCUUACUAAACUGUGACUGACACUGAUGCUCGAAAGUGUGGGUAUCAAACAGGAUUAGAUACCCGGGUAGUC
rnacentral:rRNA from 1 species